AGAAUCAACGCUGGCGGCGUGCCUAACACAUGCAAGUCGAACGAGAAAGGGGAGCAAUCCCUGAGUACAGUGGCGCACGGGUGAGCAACACGUGACUAACCUACCCUGGAGUGGGGAAUAACUGAGGGAAACCUUAGCUAAUACCGCAUAAUACCUACGGGUCAAAGGAGCAAUUCGCUUCAGGAGGGGGUCGCGGCCGAUUAGCUAGUUGGCGGGGUAAUGGCCCACCAAGGCAAUGAUCGGUA
rnacentral:rRNA from 1 species